UACGUAGGGGGCAAGCGUUGUCCGGAAUCAUUGGGCGUAAAGCGCGUGUAGGCGGCCCGGUAAGUCCGCUGUGAAAGUCGGGGGCUCAACCCUCGAAUGCCGGUGGAUACUGUCGGGCUAGAGUGCGGGAGAGGCGAGUGGAAUUCCUGGUGUAGCGGUGAAAUGCGCAGAUAUCAGGAGGAACACCGGUGGCGAAGGCGGGUCUCUGGGCAAUAACUGACGCUGGAGGAGCGAAAGCCGUGGGGAGCGAACAGG
rnacentral:rRNA from 1 species